GGGGGUUUAGCUCAGUUGGUAGAGCUUCUGCCACGCAAGCAGAGGGUCAACGGUUCGAUUCCGUUAACCUCCACCA
rnacentral:tRNA from 1 species